AGGGGCUAUCAAUUCCCAGAUGGUUUUUAUUACUGCAAAUACUUCUACCAAUGUGUCUGCCUGAUCGCUCUGGCUGUGGGGUCUUUCCUCCAUCAGGAACCUAUUUUUUUUUCUUUUUAUGGCUGCACCUGUGGCAUACGGAAGUUCCCAGGCUAGAAGUUACAGCGAUGGGAGCUACAGCUAUGACCUACACCACAGCCACAGCAACAGUGGAUCUGAACUGCAUCAGUGACCGAAGCUCACGGCAAUACCGGAUCCUUAACCCACUGAGUGGAGGCCACGGAUGGAACUCUCAUCCUCAUGGAUACUAGUCAGGUUCUUAAUCUGCUGAGCCACAACAGGAACUCCAAAACCCACACCUGCAAAGCAGGUGGCAAACUCUAAGUGCUUUCCCUCAACAGGUGGUGAGAAGAGGGGUGAGGACAGGGGCAGACAGAAUCCCCCCUGCACUACUCCUCAACCUUUCAAAAAUAAACAAGCCCUAGCUAGUGAAUAAGCCAAUCCUCUCAUUAGGAAGGAUGACAACCAGGAUUUGACUAUAGAUCAGAAGUAAAGAAAAGGGAGAAAGGAGAUACUGAAAUGGAUUUUCAACAAAUAACUUCCCUCUGGUUCAGCCUGAAUUUUUUCCCGCAUGUGUAUACUUUCACAGAUCCAGUUUGGGAGCGUUCAAAUUAGCACAACCUGGCCUUAAAUACUGUGCAAAACACAUAGUAAGCAUUUUGCUUUUAUUUAUGUCAUCAAUGGCUUCAAUGGAAUGACUCAGCCUUCCUCUUUAACACUCUGUUCUAAUACGGUUUACUAUAAAUAAUGCGGAAAGUGAGGAGAGAGAGGGAGAGAGCCUGAGCCCUGGGCCCCUGCACAGCCGGGUCACAAAAGAUCCAGGUCUGACCGACAAACCCACGGUGGAUCUGAGCUCGACUGACAGCCCAGUGGUGGUUCCCAUGGAGAGAAAGACAAAUAAGCCUCUCCCCACCCUCCAGGUGUCCAGGACAAGCAAGGCUGUUAGAAAAGCGGACCAAUCACGGCCGAGGAUGUGCCAGGUACCAGGCUAGGAUUUUAACACUCGAGCUCCUUCUCCUGCUAGUGCCUUCCCGAAGGAUGAAGUCAGGACUCACACUCAGACCAGCAAACCUUCUGGGCCUACCCCCUUGGAGUGUAUGAGUCAGAACUCAAUCCAUUCUCCCUAACUCCAAAUGACAUCCACCCGUGGUGGUCUAGAUUUUUAAACACCAGCCGUGCCUCUUGGGAACCCAAACUCACGGGAGGCCAAACCACAAAUGCAGAAACAUCACAGCAAUGAGAGGAGUCCGCCCCAGGCCUGGAUGAUCGGCGGCAACGACUCCUUCUAGGACAGUGGUUGGAAAUCACAAAAGCACCUUGGCCUUCUCCAGCUCCCACCCAAGAAGUCAGGCCAACAUGCACCUCGGGGCUGGGCUGACAAGCCCUCUCUACACACUCCUUCCAGAAUCCACCUUCCGCGUCAGCCUCAGGCGCCAAUGUCAUCACACACACUGUAUUCCUCAGAUUUGUCCCUGGAUUAUUCUGACCAUUUCCAAAAGUCAAAUCUACCCAAAGGAUAAGGCACAGGACUGUGGCACAGACUCUGGACAGGAUUCCACAAGAUUUUCCAAAUGUCUGGGGCUGUGGCCACAUCACGGGAUCAAGCGAUCACUUAUGAGCUACGGACGUUUCUUUAGACCCGCAGCCGCCCUCCACAGAUGGAAACCUUCAUAUUCCCCACGCACUCAAAUUAUUCACCUAUUAUUUCACCUGCUGGCCGCCAGCACACGGCCACUACUAUCCUCCAUUUAGCAGCGCCCAAAACAAAAGAGUUCCCCGGUGCCUUUCAUAGCUGCUUCCUUGAGCCAAAAUAACAGGCUUCCAGGUACCUAGUUCUAAAGCCUGGUAGGGCCUGUUUACAAAAUGAAGGGUCACCAUGUUGUGCCCUUUGCACGUAUUUUACCCACGUGACCACCUAAAAGGUGGCAGGCUUGUUUUUUUACAGGACAAGGAAAUGGGGGCUCAGAAAGGCUCAGUAACCUGUUCAAGGCCCACGGUUAGUAAAUUCUGGAGGUUUUUAUCCAGGUGGCCUCCCUCUGAAACCUGCCUUCUUCCCCUCACUCCACCCGGUCCCUAGAAAACACCAUGCUCCCUCACUCCCCCCCGAGUGAGGAAUGGCUCCCCCCCAACCCCAAUUCCUGGGCUAUAUCUCACGAUCUCCAGCAUCUCUUGGACUUUGCACUCACUGGUUCAACUUCCCGGUAAGUCUGCACUGGUAGAUACCCUCUGCUCUAAAUAGCACCCUCCGUGAUCUGCAAACAUUACAAGGACAUCAAAACAAAGCUAUCAGUUGGGUUCCCAGCUUGAGCAGCCAGUCCAAACUCUUUCUGUUUGAUUCUCAGACAGCUUAUUGACUAGGUGAUGGGGUCAGAAGUUUUCACCUAGCUUCUUCCAGAAUCAGGCACGCGGCCUGCAGAAGCAAAUUCAGGGCAGGUGGGAAAAGUCACCCCAUGUAAGAGUUCAGAUUUACAUAUUUUCAAUAAGCACAUACUGCUUACCGGCCAGCAACUUGUGGGAGUGGGAGAGGAUGAAGGGAGGAAAAGAUAGGAACUCAAGAGGCAUCAUUUCCCGUUUUGUACCAUCACGGGCACGGCGGCCCACUCAAUGAGCUGUUCUCAGAGGCCGCCUGUCCACACAAAGGGGGGGAGAAGCAGGGAGGGCAGGAAGCUGAUAAACGGUGUGAUAAAAGCAGCAACCGUGUUUUACCAGAUACCUGUUUUCUGCCAUCAGGUGCCUUCACACAUCUCCACCCCGAUCUGAAAGAGGGUCCUGGCUCCCCAACCCCCUGCCCCGCCCCACCCCUCACCCUGACCCCAACAGUCUAUCUUUGCAUAUUGGAAAAACUGGCAUUUAUCAAGUCAUCUACUCCUCAUAGCUUGUUAAACAGACAGCAGGGGUUAUCAGCGGAGUUGAGAGAGGAAGAUAAACAGCAACCUCUUAUGCAAAUAGCACAGAGAAUGCGAGACUGGCCACAGGACAAAAUGGGAAUUGAGGAGAACCUGAAUCUUAACACUCUUCCCCCGUUCCAAUUCUGGAAAUCCGCAGGAACUUGGAGAAGAUUCCCCGGAUGGAGCUGCCUCUCCCUUUUUGCAGGGAGAAGCAGUCGUGUGGGUUGGUCCAACCGGCUUUGCCAAGAGUAGUGGCUCCGUAUGUGCCUAAUAGAACUCCCCUCUGUGACCACAAGCUUGUCCUCCCCGUGUUGGCCAUUUAUUUCAUUUCUCUGGGAUUCAGACCCACUGGAAUGUGCUUGGUUCAGAAAGGGAGAAAAAGGUAUUCUCCAGGGUGGGAACAGGGGUCCAAGGGAAGCAGUGAAAAACCAUCCAAGGAAAACCAGGAGUUCUGGGUUCCCAGACACCACCCACACGAUCCAGGAGAUGCUACCUGCCCCUGGACUCUGCAGAUCCGCCUUCGCCCAGCAAGAAGCGGGUCCAGGUGGCACCUUUCCAAACUCUUCUCAUUAUCUGAAGGGCAAAUUCACAGAAGCACCAAGAGGUGAGCGGCUCCCAGUGACAAAAGAAUUGCGCUCGGACAGACGGGAGCAAGCUGCUUCUCACACCAGGCUGUGGGCUGGGGAGGGGGGAAAAUGGGAGAAUGACAGAAUCCAGGGCUGCCCAGAAUGAAAGCCUGAAUGGAAUAGGCUAAUUUACACAGGAAGUAAGCACUUACCAGACCCUUCAUCUCAACACACAAAACCCUCCGCCAUAUCUGGAAGCAAUUACAUCCAGUUAACAUGAUCUGCUUGCCACUAAAAUUAACUGCAAACAGAAAUAUUUUUCACUUUUGCAACAGGGGAUGCCAAGGUUUGGCCUAUCCCCCCUCAAGCCAUUGAAUCUGGCUGCCGGGCGAAUAUUUAGCAGCUACUCAGCUCAAAAAACAAAACCCACUCUGUGGCUGUCAGGACACAAAAAGUAAAAUAGUGGAUAAUUAUGAAGGGGGGAAGAAGGGGGGUAGGUGGCAAUGAAAACCAUUGUGCUAGGAAUUGAGGAAGGGGCCAGCCCUGGACCCUAAACGGGUCUCUGCCACACUUGCAAGUCCAGCCCUGGUUUUCCAGGCUCAACUUCAAGGAAAGAAAAAUGUUUUUAGAGUCACUCGAUUUAGCAGCGGCUUCUCAUUGCUUUUAGGUACCAUCUUUAUCCCUUCUGCCAAGGGGACGGGGGUGGGGGUAUAUAGGGAGGUAGACUCAGAAAUGCGAGCGGAUCCUUAAUUUAGCAGAGCACCCAGGGGACAACUGUCACGAUUUCACUUUUUGCAUCGAACAUUUCCAAUCCCGACUCGGCGAACGCCCUCGGAGCAGCUUUCACCUGCUCUAAGAGGGGCAAGGGCUGCUGUUUCUUUGAGAGGAUGGAGAGAGGGCUGAGAGGGGUGGGAACAUGCCUCC
rnacentral:lncRNA from 1 species